rnacentral:misc_RNA from 1 species
AAGUCGUAACAAGGUUUCCGUAGGUGAACCUGCGGAAGGAUCAUUAUCGAGUUUUGAAAGGGGUUGUAGCUGGUCUUCCGGGACACGUGCACGCCCUGCUCAUCCGCUCUACACCUGUGCACUAUCCGUAGGUCGGCGGUGGGGCCCUCCGGGGCUUCACCCCUUCCUAUGUCAUCUACAAACGCUUCAGUACCAGAAUGUAACGGCGAUAAUACGCAUAUAAUACAACUUUCAGCAACGGAUCUCUUGGCUCUC